UCGCUCUCUGCCGAUCGCUAUAUCAAUAAGCGAAGAUGGCUUUUGGAGUCGUUUCCAUCUCCGCCUCAACCAGUCGUCUCCCCACCCCUCUCCUCAACAAGCUCCCACGUCUCCUCCUGGCGGCACCGGCCCAGAUCCCGCUUCUCCGUCGGUCAUCGCCUCCUCUGCUUUGAUUCUGAAACCCCCGACGUAGUGUUUGCAGACUUUCCCAACAAACAUGAAGAACACUAACAGACUAGAACUACUACAAAAUGGACUCAUGAUCAAGCAAAGUGCGAAUCAGCAUGACGCCAUGAAUUCUUUCACUGCAUUUCUUUUUGAAGAAGUAUCAAAUGUUCAUAACUUGAAGUUCAGAGUACAUAUGUGGCAGACAAUGUGGAUAUUGCAUUCAAGCAUUCCGAGCCUUUUUCAGAUAGUUAUCAGACACC